rnacentral:rRNA from 1 species
GUUUGAUCCUGGCUCAGGAUGAACGCUGGCGGUAUGCUUUACACAUGCAAGUCGUACGAGAGUUUUUAACUCAAGUGGCGGACGGGUGAGUAACACGUAAGAAUUCGCCUUUAGGAGGGGGACAACAACUGGAAACGGUUGCUAAUACCCCAUAUGCUUUCGAGUGAAAUGGUUUUUCCGCCUAAAGAGAAGCUUGCGGCUGAUUAGCUUGUUGGUAAGGUAAUGGCUUACCAAGGCGACGAUCAGUAUCUGGUUUGAGAGGACGAUCAGACACACUGGAACUGAGACACGGUCCAGACUCCUACGGGAGGCAGCAGUGGGGAAUUUUCCGCAAUGGGCGAAAGCCUGACGGAGCAAUACCGCGUGAGGGAUGAAUGCCUAUGGGUUGUAAACCUCUUUUUUCAGGGAGGAACAAAAUGACGUGUACCUGAAGAAUAAGCAUCGGCUAACUCCGUGCCAGCAGCCGCGGUAAGACGGAGGAUGCAAGUGUUAUCCGGAAUCACUGGGCGUAAAGCGUCUGUAGGUGGUUUAAUAAGUCAACUGUUAAAUCUUGAGGCUCAACCUCGAAACCGCAGUCGAAACUAUUAAACUAGAGUAUAGUAGGGGUAAAGGGAAUUUCCAGUGGAGCGGUGAAAUGCGUAGAGAUUGGAAAGAACACCGAUGGCGAAGGCACUUUACUGGGCUAUUACUAACACUCAGAGACGAAAGCUAGGGUAGCAAAUGGGAUUAGAUACCCCAGUAGUCCUAGCUGUAAACAAUGGAUACUAGAUGUUGAACAGAUCGACCUGUGCAGUAUCAAAGCUAACGCGUUAAGUAUCCCGCCUGGGAAGUAUGCUCGCAAGAGUGAAACUCAAAGGAAUUGACG